rnacentral:rRNA from 1 species
GACGUAGGGCGCGAGCGUUGUCCGGAAUUAUUGGGCGUAAAGAGCGUGUAGGCGGUCCGGUAAGUCAGCUGUGAAAGUCAAGGGCUCAACCCUUGAAUGCCGGUUGAUACUGUCGGGCUAGAGUCCGGAAGAGGCGAGUGGAAUUCCCGGUGUAGCGGUGAAAUGCGCAGAUAUCGGGAGGAACACCAAUGGCGAAGGCAGCUCGCUGGGACGGUACUGACGCUGAGACGCGAAAGCGUGGGGAGCAAACAGG